GGCCCCAUCGUUUAGCGGCCUAGGACGCGCCCUUUCACGGCGGUAGCACGGGUUCGAAUCCCGUUGGGGUCA
rnacentral:tRNA from 1 species